UGCAGUCGAGCGGAACGAAGAGUAGCUUGCUACUCUGGCGUCGAGCGGCGGACGGGUGAGUAAUGCUUGGGGAACUGCCCAGUCGAGGGGGACAACUAUUGGAAACGAUAGCUAAUACCGUAUACGCCCUACGGGGGAAAGAAGGGGACCUUCGGGCCUUUCGCGAUUGGAUGUACCCAAGUGGGAUUAGCUAGUUGGUGAGGUAAAGGCUCACCAAGGCGACGAUCCCUAGCUGGUUUGAGAGGAUGAUCAGCCACACUGGAACUGAGACACGGUCCAGACUCCUACGGGAGGCAGCAGCGGGGAAUAUUGCACAAUGGGCGCAAGCCUGAUGCAGCCAUGCCGCGUGUAUGAAGAAGGCCUUCGGGUUGUAAAGUACUUUCAGCGAGGAGGAAAGGUUAGUAGUUAAUAACUGCUAGCUGUGACGUUACUCGCAGAAGAAGGACCGGCUAACUCCGUGCCAGCAGCCGCGGUAAUACGGAGGGUCCGAGCGUUAAUCGGAAUUACUGGGCGUAAAGCGUACGCAGGCGGUUUAUUAAGCGAGAUGUGAAAGCCCCGGGCUUAACCUGGGAACUGCAUUUCGAACUGAUAAACUAGAGUUUUGUAGAGGGUGGUAGAAUUUCANGUGUAGCGGUGAAAUGCGUAGAGAUCUGAAGGAAUACCAGUGGCGANNNCGGCCACCUGGACAAAAACUGACGCUCAUGUACGAAAGCGUGGGGAGCAAACGGGNUUAGAUACCCCGGUAGUCCACGCCGUAAACGAUGUCAACUANCCNACUGGCGCCNUGAGCGCUGGGNGGCGCAGCUAACGCAUUAAGUUGACCGCCUGGGGGANUACNGCCNCNNGGNNAAAANUCAAAUGANNNGANNGGGCCCGCACAAGCGGUGGANCAUGNNNNUUNNUUCGAUGC
rnacentral:rRNA from 1 species